rnacentral:rRNA from 1 species
UUGACCUCGGAUCAGGUAGGAAUACCCGCUGAACUUAAGCAUAUCAAAAGGCGGAGGAACGGGAUCAUCACC